CACUAAAAGGGAAAAAAGAGAUGCAGUUUCUUCUCGAUUCUCCAUUUAGGGACCUUUUUAAAAUACCU
rnacentral:sRNA from 1 species